rnacentral:rRNA from 1 species
UACGUAGGGGGCGAGCGUUGUCCGAAGUUACUGGGCGUAAAGCGCGCGUAGGCGGCCAUUUAAGUUCGGGGUGAAAGGUUCAGCGCUCAACGCGAACAGUGCCCUGGAUACUGGGUGGCUUGAGUCCGGGAGGGGGCAGUGGAAUUCCGGGUGUAGCGGUGAAAUGCGUAGAUAUCCGGAGGAACACCGGCGGCGAAGGCGGCACUCUGGGCCGGUACUGACGCUGAGGAGCGAAAGCGUGGGUAGCAAACAGG